UUGUUGACAGUGACUGUGGACUGUUCUCAGGAGGAGGGACAAUGCCUGGACCCUGCUCAGAGGGCUUUGUGCAGAGAUUGCAUAUUGCAGAGUUGCCCCAGUGUGCUUUCUGUGGGUCACACUCAGAAGCCAGACCUGCUCACUUUUGAAGCAGAACAGAGAAGCCUAGAAGGUGGAGAGAAUGGACACAGUAGCAAAUGUACCAGGAUUCAUUUUGUUGAAACCUUGAAUGUGGUCACUGACUAGGCAGAGAGGGGAUCUUGGUGAACAUUGGGUGAGCAUUUCUUUCAUGACUAACAGUGUGGAGCAUUUUUAAUGUGUACUAAUUGGCCAUUGUAACUACUUUUUAGCAUGAUCUGUUAAAGUUAUUUACUUGUUAAUUGAAAUGAUUUUUAUUUGUUUGUGUUUUUUUUUCUUUAU